UCAUGCGGGCAGUACCGCUAUACGUUAUGAGAAAAAACUAUGAGUCUAUAACAAUACAAAUUAUAUCUCCGUAAAAAGAUUAUUAUUUAAUUUUGAGAUUCAUGUUCUGUGUGAUUUUAAUUUUUUACUCGACUACGGCGACGUAUAGUGGACAUUGAUGGCCAGCGAUAUGAAAUUAUGAAUCGCGCGCGGCGAGCAGGAAACGACUGAAAGGAUUAUGCUUCGGCCGUCUCGCCUUGUUAAUAUUGUCAAUUAUGGAGAUGGAUGAUGGAGUUUCAGUUGUCGGUGCGUAUCGCUGGGAAAGAAUCGCUUGACGUCCGCAUCGCGAACAGCGCCACAGUAAGAGACCUGAAAAGGGUUAUUUUCCAACAAGCGCCAUACUUCAAUAAGGAAACUAACGGUGGCGACCAGAACGGAGCAGCUAACGAUAUUAUUAUCACGUUUGCUGGCGAAGUUUUGGCGGACGACAGCGUUUUGAAGGACACAUCGCUUCGUGAUUGCACAAUUCUUCAUGCUGUCCCAUGUCGAAAUCCAGCACUGUGCACGGAUCAAGCAUGUAUCAACGAGGAUGCCUCGGGAAAGAGCGAUUUAAUUCCAGUGGAACAGGCUAGGAAAUUUAACUGCACCUUUUAUGGAUAUUGCAAGGACGUUUGCGCAGCAUUGGUGCCAGCUUUGCUGCGCUUUUCGUGUAGCUUUUGCGAUUCAACAAACAUCGUAAUAAAAACGGCAACAGUCUGUCAGGAAUGGGACCGCAUAUGUUCCCGACAAGUGGCAUUACCGGCUCACUGUUAUGGAAGAUGUGGAGGGGCAUCGGCUAAUUUAUUUUUUAAAUGUGCGGCACAUCCAAGUAGGAGUGAUUUUGACCAAAUUGUUUACCUGCGUCAAGUUUUGUUGAAUGAACACGACAUCCCGUGUGUGACAUGCGAAUCUGUCAGUUCGCUCGUGGUGGAUUUUCUCUGUGACCCGACUCAUGUUCUGUGUCUGGACUGUUUUGUCCAGUAUGGCUCUAUUCUCGUCACAGAACGGAGAUUUUAUUGGCAAGAACAGACGGGUUGUGUCAUUCCUUGUCCGGUUGGCUGUCGCCAUGGAUUUAUCCACGAUCCGCAUCACUUCUACUUACUUGGUAGAAAGCUGUACGAGAAGUUUAAAGAUUUUGCGGCGGAAGAGCGUUUUGUUAGAGAAGGCGGGAUAUUCUGCUCGGAAGUGGCGUGCAACACUGCAUUUGUGGAUUUAGCCGACAGCGUUUUCGCGUCCUGUCCGAAGGGUCAUAGAUACUGCCGGACUUGUCGAGAUAAAAUUCACAGUGGAGGUUGCGAUGAGCCUGUUAUCUGGACGAAAGGAAUUCUAUCGACCUUUGCCUCGCAAGAUCCAAGCCGAACAGAUAUCAGAUCUCGCUUAACGAUCGCCAACACGACCAAAUCUUGUCCUGGAUGUCAUACACCAGUGGAACGGAAUGGUGGUUGCAUGCAUAUUACAUGUACUCGGUGUCGGAAAGAAUUUUGCUGGAUUUGUUUGGCUGAGUGGAAUAUUAACUGCAUGAGUCGGCAUUGGUUCGGAUGAGAAUACGCCAAUAUACACGUGUGCCCAUCGAAAGUUGCGUUGGCGAAAAGAUUUUUGGGUUAAUUGUACUGAAUGUUCAGUAUACAAAAUAUGCUGUAUUUUUCGUUCCGCCACAAAUGCCAUUUUCCAUUUCUUAAGCUUCAACACUGGCGUCAGCAUUUCAGUCUUGCAGAAUGCAGAUUACCAAAUCGAAGAAGCGUCCAACAAGCAUGCAAAAGCAUAAUCAAGUUCUCCUCGUGGUACGCUCAGCUGCAGCAAGAAACGAUUAUGAUCAGGAAGGCAUCAUGUCACCCAUCGGGUGAGCAGUUAAAAAACUUAUCUGAAGUAUCAGACGUUUUUUCAAAAACACCAACCGGCAUGACUGCACCUUCCAUCAUAUGUCAUAGUUGCUGUGCUAUUCAAAGGUUCAGUAGAAUGGUCACUUCUAUACUGUAUCACAAUCCACAUCGACGCAAUGUGAAACAAAUAAAACCACAACUUACCAGUUAGGACUAUAUGCGAUCAGCGGAUUAACAUCUGGUUUGUCGGGAAGACGACAAUGCAUGAAUACCACUAAUAUUGUAUUGUUAUUACUAAUACGAGCUAAUGGCAGCCUGCGUGAGCACUUGUCACUGUGUGAAAUCUAUUUAAGCGUUCGUUGUCGUUAACUGCCUCUGUUUUUGUCUACCUGAUCCAGAAUCCUUUGCUCUUCAUCGUCAUAUUUUUUUAUCUAGGGCAGAUGCAGAUGCGUACCGUUAACUUGGCAGCAAAUUACUGGGACGGCGAGAUUGUUCUUUGUUUUAGGAGAGGCUUAUGCAUUAUUGGCUGGCAGCCAAAAGCCGACUUCUGUUAGUGGUUUUUAGCCGGCUUUUGUUAUGCAGUACAUAGCCUGCUGUACAUAUGCAGACUGUCUACAUACCAAAUUUCUGUAGUUAGUAAAUACCAAAACACCGGCUGAAGACGAAGAGCAUCCAUCCAUCGGAUAAUUUUCUUACGUUUAGUUAUGCGUUUUCUAAAUUUUUACAUUAAUUCGUUUUCUCAUUCCCUUCGCUGCUGUUCAGUAUUGUCUGGAUCCACGUGAUUAGCGCUUCCAUGUUUAACAUCAUGGCAACGUUACGGUUCGUUAUUGUUACCGUGCCAUUACUGAUAUUAUUACUGGAGACAGAGUUUUCCGCCUCAGUUCCUUUACGGCGGUCGAUUCCGGAAGAUUCGAAGAAUCUGCACAAUUUUUCCAUCAAUCUCCUUUUCGGCGUAGGUUGGAGAGAUUCACCUGGCGCUGUCCAGCCGAACCAAACGAUACAUUUUGAUAUUAGGCUUUUGGGAAUUCAUCCUCAAUUGUCCUGCACAGUUGUUGCUGCAAAAGGAGCACUCGUCUACUGGGAAAAGGAUGGUCAACGUUUCCAAGACAGAAGCGGACGAAUUUACGUGGUAGAGACCAAACCAGAUGCAGAGUCGGAAGGUGAAGGUUCUUUCACGGUCAAAUUGGACUUUUACGAUUUUCGGCCAGAAGAUGCGGGAAAAUAUCGAUGCGUUGUGGAUUCCACUCCUGGAAAAGGCAACCGCCCUUUACGCCGCAGUUCACCGGUAUACUUUACAGCGGUCGUACCCGAUGAUAGAACUCAGCCUCGGGACCUGCGGGUUAGAAACAGUUAUCGAACUGAAGGCACUGCGAAAUUUCUUUGGGAUCGACCAGCAACCGGAGGUGUUAUGGGUUAUGUAGUGUGUCUUAUGACCGUUGAUACCCCGGUCAGCUGCCGCGAAAAAACAUCCUACAUGCACGAAAAACCAGAGCGGGAAUGGUUGCUGAAAGGUUUGAAACCAAGGGCACAGUAUAUGGUUGACGUAGUGGCUAUUGUAAAAGGAGACGAAGACAAAGGAGAAUGGGGGAAGCACACAAAUAUUACUUUUAGAACCUUCGAUGCUAACCAAAUUGACCCUUCCGCCCCCGAAGAAUUUGAGCGUGACGAUGAGUUUAACGUUCCGGUGAACAGACCUUUAGAAAAACUUCGCCUGCUGACGACUCCUGAAUUUAUGAAGACUUUUGCCAGUUCAACAUCGUUGCCAUCAGCGGUUACCGCGCCUGCUGACCGUGUUGAUUACAUGCAGUUGCUGAUGAUCUGUGUGCCAUGCCUCGUCGUUUUUUUUAUUUUGUUGAUAAUCAUUAUACUGCUGGUGAUGCGACACAAUCACAGGAAACAUCGCCGCAUUCCACAGGACAACGAUGGACGCGUUUCUCGUGUUCGCGUGGAAGAAUCCCAAGUUGAACUUCGGGCCGUGCCCAAUGCAUAUGCGGCAUAUCCCGUCACAACUGCUGGAUUGUACCCGGAUUUAUCACCAAGCGCACCUUCUGCAUAAUCGGCAUGGACCGCAUGGCCAAAAUGGCAUGAUGACAUUAUCUUUGUCCUUACGCUUUUUAGUGUAUCUAGGAGAGCAGUGUAAUUAAUUUUGUAAUUAAGUGAAUGACCAAAGAUAUGCUCACUCGCACAGUUAGUAGUACUUAGUACCAUUUCCACGCUCGGAAUGUUUUUAGGAUGAAUACCAAAACAGUGUGUGCAGGUAUUGUAAGUUGUUGGCGAUGACCUUUGUUGCGGUUUGACGUUACGGUGCUGUUCUUAAAUUUGGUAAUUACUGUUAUUUACCAGAGCUUGUUGUUGAUUUGGUAAUUACUGAUAUUUACCAGAGUUUGUUUAAAUCUGAAGUAAAUAACCUUGAUUAAUAUUGAGA